AAGUCGUAACAAGGUCUCCGUAGGUGAACCUGCGGAGGGAUCAUUCACAUGAUCAUAAUCUUUAAACAAUUCUGUGAACUAUUUUUUUUUCAACUAUUUUUUUUGUUUUUAUCUAUUAAAAAAAGAUAAAAACAAAAUUACAUUCGAUUGUACAUUAGAUAGCUGGUUUAUUAUUUAUCAAAUAAUAUUCUACAGCUGAUUGAAAUAUGUCUAAACAACAUAUUUGAAUCAUGUCAAAUAAAAACAUAGAAUUAACAACUCUAUGCCCUGGAUAUCUUGGUUCUC
rnacentral:misc_RNA from 1 species